UUCGGGGGUUGAUCCUGCCGGAGGCUACUGCUAUCGGGGUCCGACUAAGCCAUGCGAGUUGAGAGGGGUAAGCCCUCGGCAUAUUGCUCAGUAACACGCGGAUAACCUGCCCUUGGGUCUGGGAUAACCCCGGGAAACUGGGACUAAUACCGGAUAGAUCAAAGAAACUGGAAUGUUCUCUGGUCUAAAACUCUGGUGCCCAAGGAUGGGUCUGCGGCCUAUCAGGUAGUAGUGGGUGUAACGUACCUACUAGCCUACGACGGGUAAGGGUUGUGAGAGCAAGAGCCCUGAGAUGGAUUCUGAGACAUGAAUCCAGGCCCUACGGGGUGCAGCAGGCGCGAAAACUUUACACUGCGGGAAACCGCGAUAAGGGGACCCCGAGUGCCAGCACCUAGUGCUGGCUGUCCAGCUGUCCAAAUAACAGUUGUUAGCAAGGGCCGGGCAAGACCGGUGCCAGCCGCCGCGGUAACACCGGCGGCCCGAGUGGUAGCCGUUAUUAUUGGGUUUAAAGGGUCCGUAGCCGGCCUAUUAAGUCUCUUGGGAAAUCUGGCGACUUAAUCGUCAGGCGUCCAAGAGAUACUGGUAGGCUUGGGACCGGGAGAGGUGGGAGGUACUCCAGGGGUAGGGGUGAAAUCUCGUAAUCCUUGGGGGACCACCGAUGGCGAAGGCAUCCCACCAGAACGGGUCCGACGGUGAGGGACGAAAGCUGGGGGCACGAACCGGAUUAGAUACCCGGGUAGUCCCAGCUGUAAACGAUGCUCGCUAGGUGUCAGGUGCGGUGCGACCGCAUCUGGUGCCGCAGUGAAAACUUGAAGCGAGUCACCUGGGAAGUACGGUCGCAAGGCUGAAACUUAAAGGAAUUGGCGGGGGAGCACUACAACGGGUGGAGCCUGCGGUUCAAUUGGAUUCAACGCCGGG
rnacentral:rRNA from 1 species